rnacentral:lncRNA from 1 species
AGAAAGAAAAAAAAAUGCACCAAGUUGAAUUAGUUGAGCAUGCAGUUGAUUGUGAUGAUCUUGUUGCCCAAGGAUGAGUUAGUGUUUGUUCCUCGUAUGCUUAGUGUUUUUGGAUGUGAUUCGAUUUUAAUAUGCACAAUACUUGAUCUUCAAUGUUUGAGCUUAGGACCCAUAGGAUCUUGCCUACAUCAUUGAUAGUCCUUAGCCCCA